AUACUGCUGAAGAGUCCCAGAUUAGGACGAAACAGACGUCCAGGUU
rnacentral:hammerhead_ribozyme from 1 species